rfam:Puccinia graminis f. sp. tritici CRL 75-36-700-3 supercont2.38 genomic scaffold, whole genome shotgun sequence.
GCCCGGCUAGCUCAGUUGGUAGAGCAUUCGACUCUUAUACAAGGUUUUCGACCUCCUCCCAGGUUGCCAUCGAAUUGUCGUGGGUUCGAGCCCCACGUUGGGCG